ACAGUCUCAGCGGCUGCUGCUCCUGACGGGCACGCGUGAUGCCCAGUCUGGAGGGUUCGCUGCAAUCAGUGCUACAGCUUUAGAAACUGUGAUUUACUGCUGAUUUAAAACUCUUUAAAGAGCCGACUUCCUGCCGAUGGGGCUGAGGGAAGAGCGGCAGGCGCAGUGCUGGCAGAGACUCCGGCAGGGCCUCGUGCGGGGGCCGGGAGCAGCGCCUUCUUUUUAGGAAACGACGCUUCAGGCUCAGGCCCGUCCAUGCUCCUCUCCCGUGUGAGUGCAGAGAAGGUCCUGGGUUCUGUCUGCUGCUUCACUCUGGGGUGCGGCCUAGGAUUCUUCUGGAAGAAGUGGUCUGUUUGAUUCCAACAGCAGUGACAGCCCAGCUCCUGUUACAGAAGUGGAAAACCAAAUCUGCCACCAGGGACUGGCGUGUGAAUUAAACAUCCACUUGGAAACCGUAUGCCCCACAGAAAGCCAAACCCGAUCCCCACUCCUCUUGGGACAUGAGAAAGGGAGGCCGCCGGGUGAAGCUGGAGAAGGGGUGGUCUGUGGAGGUCUCCCUUUGUGGAGCAGAGAC
rnacentral:lncRNA from 1 species